UUCCUACUGUAGUGUUUGGGUAGUAUCCUCAGAGCUUGGAAUUAUGGAAUGCGAAUUCAACGCUUCGAUUUGAAGGGUAUAGAUUCUUGUUAUUUUGUCGAAGUUUCAAGGUAAAUGAUAAAUUGGUAGUUGUGUCAUAGUCAUGGAUCCGGAAUAAAUCCAGUGGUGAUCCCAAGUGAGCUGGAGUUCAUUUAAGCGAUGAGUCUUGAUACUGUAAAUCCUAUGUGGUAGUUUGAGAGUUGCAUGGUGAUGUUGAUUUUGAUGGUUUGUGUCGUUAUAGGUAUAUUUCAUGAUGUAGCAUUAUGGAAGAGGGUUUUCCCCUGUUGACUCAAGAAGCGUUUAGAGUCAAGGUUUAUUAAGAGUUUUAAUAUUGAGAGUAGUAGUUUUUGAUAGGUUGUUCAGCGUCUCUUCUCGGGAUCGUAUUGUGGUGGGACCACUUAUAGAUCCAAGUUUGAUUUGAGAGGUCUUCGUUAUUUGGUUGUGCAUUCGUCUGUUGGUGUCAGGAUGAUUAGUGGAGGUUUCUAGUGCGACUUCGAAGCGGGUUCUGGCGGAUAUCGAAGAUCUGUGGAGCUUUUGAGCUCGAAGUUAGAGGACUUGCUUUUCGUAUGCUUUAAAUUAUUUCUUUUGGAGCGUGAGCUGAGUUAAGCCAUGAGUUUUGAUUCUUGCUUGAAUUCAUGGUUUUCGUUGAUUGGUGAACCAUAAGGUGUAGUAGUGGGUCUUGUAUAAAAUUUGUCUUUACUUUUGUUAGUCGCAUGUUAUUGCAAGCUCGGUUUUCGAAGAAAUCUUUUUGGUGGGAAGUCGUGGCCCUGGGAUGUGUAGGAGACUUGAGCAUAUCUGAAUUUCAGAUCGUAUUCUGCUAUCAGAUUAAUUAUUAUAGGAGGUAGAAAAGAAGUGUGUUUGUCGAGUUCAAAGGUUUUGGUAUUUAGAAUCAUUCUUAUGGAACGGCUAGCGUGAGCCGUGUGCUUUUAAUUAUUGCUCUUGGGGUCGCAGUUGCACCCGAAUAAGUAGCAUGGCUGGAGAUGUAAAUUUUGUCAAUGCUUAAAGGUGUUCUAUUUAUGUGGAUUUCAACGUCAAGUUUGGCAUCAUGAAUUGACACUACCAGGACAAGCACUUUAGCCGACGAAAAAUUUUCGUCGGCCUGUUAUCUUAAUUCGUCGGCUAAGAUCUUAGCCGACGAGCCUUCGUCGGCUAUAGUGUCGUCGGGAAAGGCUCGUCUGUGAUGACUUUAGCCGACGAAAUUUUUUUUUU
rnacentral:lncRNA from 1 species